ACCGCGCUCUCGGCUUUCCCGGUUGCCCCGCCCCACGGGACACUGCGUGCUUCGAAAUCGAUGAACCAAAAUAAAGGCUUUCAAAAAAGAACUUCUCCCUUUGAAAAUCUUUCAUGAACCUGAGAUCUUCAAAGGACUAAAAGUAUAAACAUGACCAUGUAUCGAUUCAAGAGGUCCUAAUUGAGCGCCCUGGUGUGUGCGCCAGCAGACCCUGUUCUCGGCUGGAGGACACAAGAGCGACCAUCACCUCGACCCCUGCCCUCGUGGAGCUCAGGCGCUGGACAGAGGAGGAAUCAGAAGAUGGAAGCAUCACACUCGCCCCGAAAGUGGGUCGACAGGAGGCAGAAGAGUGUUCGUCAUGAGAAAAUGCUCUAACUGAAGGCUGAGAUGCAUCAGCUCUUAGAGAAGAAGGGGACUGCUGAGAGCGGAGUGAAGGAGCAGAAGACACAGCCCAAGGAAAUAGGAUUCUCCUCUGUGUCCCAGAGUGGCACCUGGGUGACCUGUUCCGAAUGAGCAACUCUGGGCCUCAGGCAAAUUUCAGCUUCUCAGAAAACAACCAGCACCUGUGCUUGCUGCUGGCACAAAACAGGCAACACUGCCAAGAUCUCCAAGAGAAAUGAUGGCAUCAGGAAUAACAGUUCUGCUCUGGCCAACCAGCUGGAAAAACAGAGAGAAUGUCAAGUUUGUCUUAAAAAUUCACCAUGACCAAAAUAAUGAGUGAUAAUCUGUCUUCUUUUCGAUAAGUUAAAUACGUUAUGGACUGCAGUACUCAUCCCAACAUUAAAAUAAAUUUCAAUACUUACCAUAUUUCUAGAAAGGUGAAAAAGUGUUUUACCAUCUGUCAUGGGUUGAAUUAUGUCCCCCCAAAAAGGUGUGUAUCAACUUGGUCAGGCCAUGAUUCCCAGUAUUGUGUGAUUGUCCUCCAUUUUGUGAUUGUAGUUUUAUGUUGAGAGGAUUAGGGUGGGAAUGUAACACUACCCUUACUCAGGUCAUCUCCCUGAUCCAAGGUAAAGAGACUUUCCCUGGGGUGUGGCCUGCACCACCUUUUAUCCUCAAAAGAUAAAAGGAAAUGGAAGCAAGAAGAGAGUCGGGGACCUCAUACCACCAAAACAGCAGCACCAGGAACAGAGCGCUUCCUUUGGACACGGGGUUCCUGCACCUGAGAAUCUCCUUGACCAGAGGAAAAUUAAGGACAAGGACCUUCCUCCAGAGCAGACACAGACAGAAAGGCUUCCCCUGGAGUCGACGCCCUGAAUUUGGAUUUGUAACCUACUAGACUGUGAGAAAAUAAAUUUCCCUUUGUUAAAGGCAUCCACUUGUGGUAUUUCUGUUAUGGCAGCACAAGAUAAUUAAGAUACCAUCAAUUUACAGGUGGAGAAACUGAGGUACAAAGUAGCAAAAUGACACGCCUGAGUUUGCAGUGGCAGAGUAGAGUGUUUUGGGGCUAAGAUCCAGGUCUGCUGAUUCCUGCUAUAGACACCUAACUUCUUUGUCUCUCUCAGGAGCAAGAUGAACUGGUACCCUCUCUUCCCUUGUGUAUAACAAAUAGUAGUUCUGUUGGGCAGGAUAUGACAUGAUUCUAAAUUAGUUCAGAUCAUUUUAAACUCUUUUGCAUCCAUAGGGCAAAGCACUGUGCUAGUUAGUUACACUAUGUGAUACAGAAGUGAUAGUAUACAGUGGUUAAAGGACCAUCAAGAUUUCUGUUGCCAAUUGAGCCUUGGCUAUCUGUACAAAAGACAUGGAUAGGUCGCUGCCUGGAGCAAGUGGUCUCUUCUUUCACAUGAGUUCAGAGAAGUCAUUUUUCCCUCUGUGGAUAUCACCUACCCCUGCCUGAUACAGGCCAGAGUAAACGCAGAGAUUGAGGGCAUUUAAAGAAAAUCCAAAAAACCUCUAUUAGUUAGUUAAUGCUGUGUUACAAAGCAUCCCCAAACUUAGUGUUUUAAUACAACAAAAAUUAUCUAUUAGCUUCCAGGUUUUCUGUACGUCAGGAACUAGGGAGCAGCUUGGCUGGGCGACUCUAGCUUGAGGCCUCUCAUAGGGUUGCAGUACAAUGGCUGGUGCACAGUUAUCUGAAAUUUGGACUGGGACUAAGAGUGUCCACUUUCAAGGGUUCACUCUCAUGCCUGGCGAGAUUGUGCUGGCUGUAGGUAGGACUCCCUUCUUCUCCAUGUGGGUCUCAUCACUGGGUUGUUCGAGUGUCCUUGGCAUGGCAGCUAGCUUCCUCAGAGCAAGUGAUCCAAAUGAGUUCACAGUAUAACUCCAAUUGCAAUCCAAAAUCACAAAAUUCCCCAUUUCCAUAUUUGUACCUUCUUUUUCUGUCAGUGAGAAAACUCCCAUUAUUUUCAAUAUUCUAUUUUGAAAAUACCUGCUUAUAUGUUUUGAAAAUAUUUACUUAUAUGCUUGUAAAAUGGUAAUAGUAAUAGUAGCAUGAGAACCUGUCUAACUUCAGAGGGGAUAAUGACCAGAGUCAGCCCAAAGCUGGUCCCUAGGCGGUAGGGGUCAGAGAUACCUCCACUCUCCAAUCUUUUUACCAAUUCUGACACCAGCCGUCCCUCCCACGGCACUCACUACUUCUCUCCUGAUUCCAUAAUCCAUUGUAAUGGUCACACAGAGCUCACAGACUGUACUUCCAGUUAAGUGGUUUAUGAAAGGAGUAACAGGGUACAACUCAGGAUUAGGAUCAACAGGCUACAACUCAGGAUCAGGAUCAGGAAGAAUUUAGGCAAAGUAUCCCUUCUUCAGUGCAGGACAACUCUCUCCAGCUCCUGUUGGCCCCCCUCAGGACAGGCUCCUCUUGGCCCUGCAGUCUGUAGCCACCAGCUCUGCUGCUGGGCCUCUUUUGGGCCUGUUGCCAUCUUCAGCGUUACAGCCCUUGACCUGUGUUACAGUUCUUUUAGGAAGUUUCUUGCCUCCUCUGUCUUUGCUUCUCUUUUCUUCUCACUUCUUUCUUCUUUCUGUUUCUUCCUGCUGCUUCUCUUCCUGUUUCUUUCUGUCUGAGAAACCUCUGUGGGGUUGGCUGCUUAUAUAAACAAACUCCUCAUCAAUUUCAAGGCAUGAAUCUUCCACCAGAGCCACGAACUGAUCAAUCUCAUCUAGGUAGGCCAAAGACACUUCUUUUGCCUAGUUUAUUGACCAAUCCCUGCAAGAUGCGUACCAAUAACAGGGCAGGCUGCAGCCCAGGAUCAGAAAGAAAGUGUCAAACCAAGUUCCAAACAGCUUACGCAGGAAAUGCGACAAACCCUCUGGAGUAGAAAACUAGGGCAAAGGUAAACUCCUCAGAGCUUAGGGGAAACAUCUCUCAAGGUG